UAGCUCAAAGGGUAAAGAAUCUGCCUGCAACGCAGAAGACCCAGGUUCGAUCCCUGG
rnacentral:tRNA from 1 species